ensembl:lncRNA
GUGGGAGGGGAAUCAUCUAAAGGCAGCAGAUUUAUUUUACUCAAACGCAGGUCAUCAGAUUUAGAGUAAAAAUAACUCCUGUUUUAGAAAUGUAGUUACCAUUAACUACUAAAGUAGUGCGGUUUCUUUGAUUGUGAAGCGUCUGUCCCGAAGUCGUGUUCUUACACUCUAAAAAACGCUGGGUUGUUUUUUCAACCCAAAUGCUGGGUUGAGACCGCUAGGUAGGAAAUUUGGUUGUUUUAACCCAAGUUUGGGUUGAAAAUUGGUCUUGAUCAUAACCCAGCGGCGCUGGGUUGUGAACGCGGACGUGAAGGAGAGCACGCACGUCACGUUAAAAUCGUACGUCUCCAGUGCGAGAAGCCGCCAUUUUCUCAGCGUGAAAGAAGCGAGAAGCGAGUGAAAGACAUUACGACUUGUUGAGCUCGUGUCUUCAUUGUCCCCGCACUGAGAGUUAAAGACACCUGCUCUUGUGAGGAGUCACAGACUGUGUGAGGAGGAGACGGUGUUCUCAGCUUCUUCUGAAGAGAGGGACAGACGGGUUUAAGAUGUUGAAAGCCAGAGACAUAGGAGAGCAUCAAUCUUUUGAGAUUUAUAACUCAAGCUAACUUUGGAGUUAAGGACACAGAAGUCUGCUUGUGUGAGGAGGAGGCGGUGUUCUCAGCUUCUUCUGAAGAGAGGGAAAGAUAGUUUAAGGCAAGUGAACUUCAUAAUUUCAUAAUAUCAGUUAUCAGUUGUUUUCUUUUACUAAGAGUAAAAUAAUGUUUGUUUUUUGUUUUUGUAGAUGUUGAAAGCCAGAGACAUAGGUGAGCAUCAUUCUUUUGAGAUUUAUAAGUCAAACCAACUUUGGAGUUGUCUGAUUUGGAGAGUCAUCAUUCUUGGUCUUCCCUCUUAAGGGAAUAGUUCACACAAAAAAUCAUUUAGUUGCCCUCAUGUCAUUCCAAACCUAUACGACUUUUGUCUGUCUUUAGAAUACAAAUUAAUAUAUUUUGAAUUUUCUCAGAUUUUUGUUAAUCCAUUGAGAGUCUAGAUAGUCAGUAUUUUCAAACCUCAUAAAUUCAGAGUUAUUGUAGAAGUAAUCCAUUCCGAUAUUUAUAUAUGAUUAAAUCUUAAAUUAUAUGAUAGCAAACACGUGUGUUCAAAGUAAAAUAUUGGUCUCCCAGACUUGCAAUGGAGGACAAAAAUUAAUAGAAUAUUAAAUAUAUUUAUUUGUGUUCCAAAAAUUAGCAGAGUUUGUAUGGGUCUGGAACAACAUGGGGGAGUAAAUUAUGACCAUUUUCAUUUUUUGGUGGACUAACCCUUUGAAGAGCAGCCCUCAACGUACAUGAAAAUUUGUGAGGCCACUGAUGAAGAACAGGUGGUGACUGGGAUGAAUGCUGGUCAAAGAAGAGAAUGUCCUUUCCCCUAAACUGAUGCAACAGUGGUUUUAAAGGAGGACGCUGCCCUGGGUGAUGUAGAUGUCACAUGUGCUGAUGGGGCUUCUUCAUGACUACAUCAGUUAUGCUAAAGAGAUCAUGAAAGUUGACAGUGAUGCAUGAUCUGUAUUCAUGGACUGUGAAACAAACUGUAAGUGUAUAAUUUGUAAAAACAAAAUGUAAAAUGCUUGUUCUGUGUUUAGUAAAUGAGUUUACACUCUGUCAUUCAUACACAUGCUCACAUUCUUUCACACACACACACGCGCGUCUGUUAAAUGUUAUAAUAUCAGUGUUAAUGUUGUGGUUUAUUUGUGUACUGUAAUGCUAGAAUAGUUGGUAAAGAACUUAACUAAUUGUACAUUUAUUGUAUAAUAGUACGUUCGUAUAUUUUUAUACAAUAUAUAAAAUUUACCAAAGUCCAAUUUGAUCUUUAAAGUUAUAUUCAACAAAUGUUCAAUGCUUUAUGAACUCUGUAGCUGUUAAUGCCAUACUUUUCUGCAUUUCUUCUUACAUGCAUGUUACUUUUU